AGAUUGUCUUUCUACGGAGUUCAUCCAGAUUCAACUUUCCAGCAGGGCGAAGUGGUUUCUCCACAACUGCAGGCACGGGGGAAGAAGUAACAGGUUUAGAAGGUAUAGGGAGUUGGGACGUAGGCUCUGGGCCUGGAAUAAAGUUGGAUGGUCGUGGAGGAGGGGUCCCACUGCCCUGCAACAGAGCACUCCUAGCACCCAUAGGACCACCAGUACCCUGAGGUAACAGCCUAGUGUUCAGUGAUGAAGACUUAUUAAUCAUUGGUGACUGCACACGUCCUCCAGGCUGCAUUCCUGAUCCAUCGCCCCUAGGAAUUGACCGCUGCCUAGGAAAUUCCCAAUUAUCAUUAUCUAUUCCAGGCAUCCCAGGCAUCUUUC
rnacentral:lncRNA from 1 species